UGAAUAUUUCUGCGGUUUGAGGGGAAUAUGGAGCGGCUUCUGACGCGACGCGCGCUUGGAAAGGCGUGAAAAUAUCGGUGACGUUACGGCGGAAUGUCAAUGAAACUGAGGCGAUCGAUGUGAAAUAAAAAAGCUGUUUCUGGACAGCCGCGAUUAGACACAUCCUCACUCCUUCAUGUGUUUGUGCGAAUGCAAACGGGACGCCGCAUUGACGGGACUGAAGCUGUUCUGAGACCCGUGGCUGGCUCGGAACCGUGAUCUGGGUCGGUCCUGCGGUUCGGUGUGUGUGUGUGUUUGCGGAGGAUGGGAGAUUUAAGCGAGUUCAUGCAGAAGAAGGUCUCGGGAAGACGCGCUCAUACUACAGCAGAUGGAAGUAAAGAAAGAAUUUCUGGAUUUGUAAUUACUGCCACUGGGCCUCAUUAAUGAAACACAAGUGGAAUGAAAUUUUUUGUAAAUAAUUUGUAGAACAAUAGAUUGAGUGCACCAUUCAGUUGGCUCAUGAUUCUUGAAUGAGAUCCAAUGUCAGUGUUUGAUCUUCAGUUUAGCAGUUCACCACGUUUCACGUUUGCAGAUCUGUGUUGUGAUAAAACAUUGAUGGUGUGGAAUUUGUCGUGUGUACAUGAUAUCCAGUCUCUGUAAUAUGAUGCAGGCAAAUGUUCUCUAAAAAUAUAGCUUUCUGAAAGAACAACAGGGAUAUUGUCCCCUAAACAUCCUACAGUCUAUCACCAAAAAAAAAAAAGGCAAAGACCAUCAAGAGAAUGUAUGUGGCCUAGAGAAAUAUAGCAGUCAGACUGCUUAAAAUUGUAUGAGCUUCUGUAAUACAUUAUUGAGUAAUGCAUAGAUCUUCAGGGCUCAGAUAAUUUUUAUUACAGCUCUUCCUUUAUGUCUUUUAUGGUGCAGUGAAAAAAAUUGCAGAAUCAUGCAAAAGUCAGGCUUGACUCUGAAGUUUAUUAACGUAACUGAUUGCAUCCUAUAUUUCAAAUAUCUAGAUUGCUUUUAGUGGUUGACCAGUAUAAUGUGGGUCAUUGUCGUCUGUCCUCAGUUCAACAGCACGUUGUUCAUCUCACAGCGUGAACCUGUUCAGGCAAAUCUGGGUUUUAUUUUAAACUAAUUGACUCUGGGAGUUAAUCAUCACCUCACAUUGAUUAUAAUGGCCCCGGAUUAUUCAGGAUUCCCAUCAGUGCUGGCUUUUCCAUCUCCGGUCAGGCUUUUCAGUCAAUGUCUUGAGUUAUAAAGUGAUUCAUAUAUGAAUCAGUCCAUUGAUUGACGUUUUCUUUGGUGUUAUAGUCAUGCAAUGUGUGGAAGUGCAUUCAUGAUCGAUAAAGCUUCUAGUUACAAAAAUAUUCUUGUGCUUUAUGUAGAACAAGAGACCAUGCAUUCUGUCUGCACUGUUUUGUAAUUGUUU
rnacentral:lncRNA from 12 species